rnacentral:rRNA from 1 species
GACGAAGGGGGCUAGCGUUGCUCGGAAUUACUGGGCGUAAAGGGCGCGUAGGCGGCACUGUUAGUCAGGCGUGAAAGUCCUGGGCUCAACCUGGGAACUGCGCUUGAUACGGCAGAGCUAGAGGAUGGAAGAGGCUCGCGGAAUUCCCAGUGUAGAGGUGAAAUUCGUAGAUAUUGGGAAGAACACCGGUGGCGAGGGCGGCGAGCUGGUCCAUUACUGACGCUGAGGCGCGACAGCGUGGGGAGCAAACAGG